ensembl:lncRNA
GGAGCAGGAAAGGCAGACUGUGAGUCACAGCGGGUAUCACCCACUGGUUAACGGAAGGUCUGAGACUGGAACCCAAGCCUACAGAGCACCCACCUGCUCCUGUUUCUGGGCUCAGAGAAAGAGCCUCAGUGUCACAGGCCGUGUUCAAAAAAAGGAAGCAAAGGAGACCUGCUGCAGUCUCUGUCCAGAGAGAGCCAAAGGAUGGGUGAAGGUUGCAAAGCGAAAUCGUGGGUGUGAAGGGGCCGAUGCAGAACCCCUGUGGCCGCAGAGGCAGGGGCAGCGACCCGAGGGAGGACCCUGGCACCGGGCAUAAGGGGACAACCUCCUCCUAGCGCCGACCUCCUCUGUGCUCUGCAGGAUCCUGAAGCAGACCUCGGCCCUCAGAGCUGGUGGCACCCGGCAUGCUUCCGAAAGCGGGGCCUAGGGAAGUUGCAGGGCUGGAAGGAGGCUCAGGGACGCCCGCCGCCCGCCUUCCCAC